rnacentral:snRNA from 1 species
AUCGCUUCUCGGCCUUUUGGCUAAGAUCAAGUGUUGUAUUAUUUUGAGUGAUUUCUCUGGGGAUUACAAUAUGCAUCAUUAACUUAAUCAGAAUCUACUUGGAGUUGAUGUUAUAUUGUUUCAUGUACAAUGUAAGGAUCUGACCACUG